rnacentral:rRNA from 1 species
GACGAACGCUAGCGGCGUGCUUAACACAUGCAAGUCGAGCGGAGCGGCGAACGGGUGAGUAACGCGUGCGUAACUGCCCCCCUCUCUAGGAUACCAGUUGGAAACGGCUGCUAAUACCGGAUAGUGGGGGAUGACUCGCGUCCUAUCAGCUUGUUGGUGGGGUAGGUGCCUACAACGGCGACGACGGGUAGCCGGCCUGAGAGGGUGACCGUCCACAUUGGGUUGAGAUACGGCCCAAACGCCUACGGGAGGCAGCAGUGGGGAAUAGUGCACAAUGGGGGAACCCCGGAUGCAGUACCGCCUGGUGCGGGAUGACGGCCUGCGGGUUGUAAACCGCUUUCAGCCAUGACGCGGUAGUGGCAGAAGAAGCACCGGCUAACUACGUGCCAGCCGCCGCGGUAAUUC